UACGUAGGUGGCGAGCGUUGUCCGGAAUUACUGGGUGUAAAGCGCGUGUAGGCGGGAGGCCAAGUCUGUGGUGAAAUCGCUCGGCUUAACUGGGCGGGGUCCAUGGAAACUGGUCACCUGGAGGUCGGUAGAGGCAAGUGGAAUUCCCGGUGUAGUGGUGAAAUGCGUAGAGAUCGGGAGGAACACCAGUGGCGAAGGCGGCUUGCUGGGCCGGACCUGACGCUGUGACGCGAAGGCGUGGGGAGCGAACGGG
rnacentral:rRNA from 1 species